GGGUUUUAUGAUGGGGUCGCUCCUAUAAAGCUGCCUGGAACUAACAAAGGGGUGAAGAUUGUUUCAGAGGAACACCGGCCUCGUCUUCCCUUCUAGAAGUGCAUGCUUAAAUGAAGAUGAAUAAAGAUGAAUAAAGAUUUUGUAAAAAUUACUACUGAGUUCCGGUACCAUCUCUGGAUCCCUCGACGAAUAAAAGAACCGGGGCAAAACUGAUUUUGCAACAAGAGUUAGAGUAGCUUGAGCCAAACGGUGAAAUACCUGGCAUAAAGUUUCCAAAUGAUCUUGCCAUGUUUCAGUGUAAACUACUAGAUCAUCUAGGUAGGCACUGCAGUUGGACAGGCCACGGAGGACUUUAUUUACCAGCCUCUGGAAGCUCAUUUGCUUCAGCAAGAGGCUGCACUGGAGAGUGGACUUUGUCACAUGUGAGCCACCCACAUCAACAGGAUGGGAACUCAUGUGGAGUGCAUGUCAUAAUGUUUGCCCAAUCUCUCAUUGAGGGUAAAACACAUGUGGAGGAGUACAACACUGAAAUCCCAAAGCUCAGGUCCCAACUUUGCCACUACUUAUUUUCCUCAAUAGAUCGAACUAGGAAGUGCAGUCAGUGCUGGUGUCUAAUUGCAGCCAAAGACCGGGUGCAGUGCCAGAAAUGUGGUGCAUACAAGCACAUGCGUUGUUCAAAGUCUGUUUGUGGCAUCUGUAUCUUCUGUGAGAGGCCGUAAAGCCAAACUGCCCGCAAUGAUUCUUGACAGGCCUAAGAAGGCCAAAACUAAAGUAACGGUGUUUAGUGUUCUGAGUGAAGAGGAGGCUGGGGAGCUAGCCCUCUGGUUUGCUGGAAGAUUGGCCUGCGAUGUCACAAGAGACAUGGUCUGUAAAGGCAUCGACCAUUCAAGUGCUGAUGUGACAAAACAGACUCUUCACAAAAUCCAACACAACCUUAAACAGGAACUGACUGAUUCCUCAACUUUCAGUUUGCUGACACACACCUUUGGCCCUGCUGCACUGGAUUCUGUCAUUUCUUUCCUGUGUGAAAAACUGGAUCUUGUCUCUUAAAUAAUAAAACCUUUUGUGACUUUUGUUUGUUCUGUAAAUCAGAAUCUUGAAAAUUGUUCACUGUUGUUUUAAGUUUGUAUUAAGUUAACUAUUUGGUAAAAAUGUUUUGUUCCUAAUCCAAACAGCAUAAUGACUGUUCUAACACAUAUCUUAAAAAUGCUACAAAGAAAGAAAAUUAUCACAUAUGUUUCAAUAUGAAUGUAAUUGUGUCACACUCGGUUUGUAGUAGCUUUCCUGUUUUAUUUUGUGAGUUUUGGUAUGUUUACACUGUUGUCAUUUUUAUUUCCCUUGUGUUCGUCUUCCCUUCAGUCAGUCUUUAUUUCAAAAUCCCGCUUUUCCCAAUGGCCUAUUUAUUUCAUAAUGCGACUUUUCAGCAGAAUGACUUUGCCUGUCAAUCAAGAAAGACAGGGCGGAGCCAGUUGUGUGAUUGGUUGCUCCUUUGCUCAGACAUAAGAAAUAGCACAUGAAGUGUCGAUUUAGGUCCAAUGGUGCAGUGCGUCUCCUACCUAUGUUUAUACCUAUGUAAACUUUUAUACACUAGUUUUUACCUGUCUUGUUUCAGAAAGGUUUAAAAGGGUAAUGUCCACAUUUUAUAAUUUUUGAAUUCAACAUAUUUUAUUAAAGUAAUUGAGCUUGAACACAGAAAAAACUGAAUCAAAUAAUCAUAAAAUCAAAUCACUUGCACUAUACUGAAGUCUAAUCUACUCUGAGCUAAUGCUGGUUUCCAACACUAAUGAUCGGGUGAAGGAGAGAGAUGAGGGUGUGCAUGGCCACUGGUGCUCUUAUCCCUGUUCUGUGUGAUACAAUCCAACAGGAAAGCAGUCAAACCCUUGGACAUUAGCGAAGUUAACGUUCACAAAUAUAUACACACAGAGGAACUCUGAGCCCCAAUGUCAGCAUUAGCACAAACAUGCCACUUCAUACCAAAUCUCAGUGUGAGGUCAGGUAUUAGUCUCAUUCCAUUACUCUGGCUAUAUUUUCUUACUCAUCAUUACUAUUAAACUUAUACUUAGUCAUACUCUAAAUUACAAUUUAGGAUGAUUAACUAUUAACAAAAUCACACCCCGAUAACUCUGUUAUUACACUUUGUAUUUAAUCAUAAAAAGGCUGGAUGUUGAAACCUUUUACUUCUAUUUUGUAUGAGCCAGGGGUCCUCAACAGCUGAUACUCUAUGUCCAAAAAGUGACAGGUACCGUUUUAUGGAGCAAAAAACUUAAGAGCGCAUAUUUUAUAAAUAAUACCAACAAUUAUAAAUGCAGAUCUUUAAUAGUAAUAAGUAAUAGUAAUAAGUAAUCCUUUAUUUAUGAUACAUAGCAAUAUAAAAAUAGCAACAUAUGAAAAUAUUACAAUGGGCACAGAUGAAUUUGUAUCAAAAACAGCAACCAAGCCAAAGUAAUGAAUAACACACAUAAAUAACAACUGCUUGAGAGAGACCAAACAAUUUCUUUUCAUCUGUUCCUUGGCAUAAAGUUAAGACAGCUAUUCAGCUUUAGGUUUCAGUAAACAGAGGUAAUGGAUGCAGUCCCUUUGAAAUUUCUACACAAAAGUCUACUUGUGCAUAUACUUAGCUUUAACUCUUCUCUUUUUUGUUUUGUAUUCCAAAAGGUUUUCAUUUUCUCCAGAGGAUGUCUCCCUUUCAGUGGUUAUCGAUUGUUCACAUUCAUUUUCACAGACUGUUGGAAUGUCGAUGCUGGCCGAACGUUUCUUGCUAGAAUGCAAUGGCCUAAUUUUGCGUGCAUUAUCUGUCGUCUUUAUUUCGUACUGACAUAUACCUUUGCCUACUUCUUGUUUCGUUUUUAAGACAUUUGUAUGCAGUUCAUCUAUCAUUGCAGUAAUGCCCUCUGGAAUAAAUGCCCACUGUUUAACUGUGUCUAAAACAGCAUUUAGUUUUCCAACCGCGUCUUCUGUGCAUUUUUUGUCUGUGCUUUCAACUACAGGAGUGUCAUUCAAAGUUGAUAAAGGACUUUUCAGAGAGUUUUUCAUUUGUUUAAAAUGGCUACAAGCCACCUUCAGGCAAGCACAUGUGUUAUAGUGAGAGAACGUACAACAAGUGCACUGAAGUGUUUCAGCCGAUGCAAAAAAAAACACAGAUUUCCAAACAAACUUGGCAUUUUUAUCACUUUCAAGUCCUCACAGUGUACAAAGUAAUGCCUUUCUUUCACUGUCAAAGGAGUUUGCAAAGAAAAGCGUCUGGACUUCUUUAAGUUGCUUGAAGACGUUUCACCUCUCAUCCGAGAAGCUUCUUCAGUUCUAAGGUCAAAUGGCCGAGAGUCCCAGAUUUAAACCCAGUGGGAGUAUCCCCCCAAGGAGGGACAAAGGGCCCCCUGGUGAUCCUCUAAUCACAUGCGCCAAGGUGUGAAAGCGGGUGUGGGACCUAAUCAGCCAAGGUUUCGGGUGAGCUCAUCCUCGCUUUCUUUCACUGCAAUUCUUGCCAAGGUAGAAAUGUCUGUUUCCAUGUUUGGAUAGAUGUCAUUGUCAACCUCUGCUAAUUUUGCAAGUAACACUAGAUGCUUGCAAAGAAGUCCUCGUAAGCCAUAUGUACAGUUGCAGUAGGACUCAACAGGGCAGACAUCAUACACUAUGUCUUCUCUUGACUCAGAUGGGACUUGAUAUGCAUUAACUCCAUGGCUGUUCUUGACUGUAAUUUUAAGAGCCCAACCACUUUCCAUCAGUCUUGAAGCAGAGUCUGAAACUUGAGACAAGGUGUCAGCAAACCUGUUUUUCAUGCGGCCCACAUCUUGCAGGGUUUUUAUGACUGAGAAGUAGUUGUCGGCCUUCCCUAGGAGCACUUCAAUUAGAUCAUCCAGAUGCCUAUUCUUGUAGCCAGAUAAAAACUGGUAUUUCAGGCGGUGGAAAAAUCGGAAAAAAAGUUAUUUGAAAUGAUUAGUAACUGUAAUUGAAGGAAUUUAAAGUUUAAAUCAAGAGUGUAUUAUUAAAAAAAUUUUUGAAUACCUAUUGCACACAUGUCUUUUAUAAAGGAAUGCUCUGUGCCGGUUUAGCUGGUUUAGGCAAAUCCACCUACUCUGUUUUUUGUUGUGAGAACAUAAAAAACACUGCUAGAAUUUAAAGGAUUCGCCUAAAAGCUGUUCUGGCAAUGACACAAAGAACCUACUUAGUUUAGCCUCUUGGAUUAAUGCAUAAUAUCUUUUUUUUCAGCAAUAAAAUUGAAUAAGGUCAAAAUAAUAAAUCAUACCUUUCAGUCACAUUGUUUGUUUCAGAACGAGCGUGACUGAAGUGACGGCCGUAGUCACACCACAUGUGGCCAAUGCCUUCCCAGUGCUUCUGAAAAUACUGGCACACCAAAGGUUAUUGCUUAAAUGUCUGGCAAAACUCUGCUGAUGUGGCUUUAAAGUCUUCCUCCUAAGAGAAUUGGAUGCAACAGAAUAUAUUUCAAUCCAUUUAACAGACCUAUUGAAAUCUUUAAUAUUAUGUAUUGAAGCCCUUUUCCUUUUAUUGAAUAACGUUAAGAAUUUUAAGUUAUUAAUAAUAUGUCGUGUUUUUGUAUUAAGAAGCAAUUAUUUCUUCCCUUACAAUGGAUAAGAAGGAACACUAAACCUAUAAGCAUAUUUGGUUUCAGCAUCUGUCUGUGAAAGAAUCCCACUCACAAGUUCUACUGCACUGUGGGCGACACAAUGAUGGUCUGCACAGCUUAAGUACUUGUUUUGAUAAGCAAGAUAAGAAGCCAGUUUUCAAAAUCAUUUCAAAAAUCUAUUUUGUAUCUCUCUGUAACUUUUUUUAGCAACUGAAAGUUAUUAUGCUCUUGGUGCAAUCAAGAAAUCAAAAUGUGAAAUAGACAAAUUACACUUACAGAUGUGCAAGCUUUCAGCUUACAAAACAAAGAAAUGAUUUCAUUUCUCUUUUGGGUGUUAGAAAGCCCAUGGACCCCGGACUCUGAUUUUGAAAGCCAUCAAUUAACAGCCUGUUAAUGUAAGAGAAAAAAAGUUAAUCUGGAGAGACAGAGGAGCAGCUGUACAAAAAGCAUAAAAGAAAGCUGACGUCCAAAAAUAACUUUGUCACUCACUGGACAAGAGGAACUGUGCAUUACAGAAAUCAACCAGACAAACAUAUUUUUAAAUGUCAAAAAGAGCUUUGGGAAGCAGCCACCAGAAGAUGAGUGCACUGUGGUCUUAAAUGGAUGGACAUAGUCACUCAACAUUUUAUCCCUUUAUAUUCAUUAACCUGAGUAGGUGAAUAUCACAAUGAGGCAAAUCAUAACAACAGGACCCUGUUGUAAAAAUGUGUUUCAGGUGCAUCUUAGACAACGUGAAAAGAAAACAAUGUGGUUUACCUGCAAGACAUGGUACCAGCAUAGAAGGAUAGCUGACUCUGGAAAAACCUUCUGCAAAGCAUUUAUUUCCGCAAAGUCUUUGUCAACCAUAAAUGCUCUACAGAAAAAAAGAAAACACUAAAUGAGAUUAAACAGUAUGAAAAUGUUUUUGCUAUCUCAAAGCACCACUUCAAUGCCAAAUUAAACAUUUCAACUCUCAAGUAGAUAUAUAAAAUACUGCAUACAGCCUGAAGGAAUAACUUUAACAACUAGAAAGGAAGGUUUUUUGCAGCCCAUGCUGCAGCUAUAGCAUUAGAUUCUGGCAUAUUAUAACUUUUUUGAAAAGGAAUUAUUUCAAAAUUAAUAGCUGUCAAUGUGAUAUUUACCUCGGUGAAGUUGGGAAAUGCUCACAAACUAUUCCAAGAACAGUUUCCAGGGUUUUCUGACUUUCGUUGCUGACAAUAGCAUAGGCCACAGGGACUCCACGCCCAUGAUCAUCUCUUACAACAAGUGUGAAUAAGGGAAAUGAAUACUGGUUAACACAGUGUGUGGUGUCAACAAAUACUAACUGUUUUGCAGAGUUCUCCAUGUUUGAUUUCAUUACAGGUGUCUGCAAAACAAUCAUUAGUUCUUGGUCAGAUGUGUAUGGUUGAUAGAAGAGAACAUGUUCUUGAUGUUUUCCAUUAAGUAAGGUAUGUACACUUUGACUGUCUCCACAGUUAAAGUGCUUCUUCCUCAUCAUGCAGGUUCUAACACUGUCAAUGUCACGUGGUGUGACAAAAUGCUCUCUGUUGUGAAGAUCUCUGUGUCCAUGUUCUUUGGCCCAUUUAUGACAUUCGGUUAGUAUGAUGGCUGGCUUAGUUCCAAGGGAAAGCAGUUCCUCAAUCUUCCUCCUCAAAUCACUGGAAAUAUUGUUGAAAUGUGCGUCUUUUGGGUCCGAAGAAUCAUGCCCAUCAUGCUUAUCAUAUGUACGCUGCACGAUGACUGUGUGGUCUUUCCAACAUUUGAGUACUUUAAAUGAAACAUAGGCCUUACAGCCCACUGCUUUGUAGCUGUUCCGACUUUUUUUUCCAGCUCUGAUGCAGUUGAAUUUGUAAUAGUCUCUCUUCCUGUCUUUACCUGAGGCCACAUUUAAACAUUUAUAAUGUCCAUGAAGGGUUAAUGAGUUCAAUUUUUCUAACACAACACUAAAUGGGUCCUCCUGGCAUUGUGACACAUGCACACAAAGUUGUGUAUCUUUUCCAGUUCUUUUUUUUUUCGUCAUUCAGGACACUUCUUCUAAUUAUAUCGUCCAUUUCUGGUGGAAAAAUAACAAAGGUUUAAUUAGUCAAUAAUCAUUAAUUCAUUUUAACUUGUUUUGGGUUUUUUCGCAAUACAAUGUAAAUAUUAAAUAUAAUAUUAAAACAAUAUAUGUAUAAUAUAAAACAAACAGGGGCUAAAAGAAAUGCCUAAACUUUCAUAUGGUAUGUCUCUGGC
ensembl:lncRNA